UACGUAGGGUCCGAGCGUUGUCCGAAAUUAUUGGGCGUAAAGGGCUCGUAGGCGGUUUGUCGCGUCGGGAGUGAAAACUCAGGGCUUAACCCUGAGCGUGCUUCCGAUACGGGCAGACUAGAGGUAUGCAGGGGAGAACGGAAUUCCUGGUGUAGCGGUGGAAUGCGCAGAUAUCAGGAGGAACACCGGUGGCGAAGGCGGUUCUCUGGGCAUUACCUGACGCUGAGGAGCGAAAGCAUGGGGAGCGAACAGG
rnacentral:rRNA from 1 species